UACGUAGGGUGCAAGCGUUAAUCGGAAUUACUGGGCGUAAAGCGUGCGCAGGCGGCUAUGCAAGACAGAUGUGAAAUCCCCGGGCUCAACUUGGGAACUGCAUUUGUGACUGCAUCGCUGGAGUGCGGCAGAGGGGGAUGGAAUUCCGCGUGUAGCAGUGAAAUGCGUAGAUAUGCGGAGGAACACCGAUGGCGAAGGCAAUCCCCUGGGCCUGCACUGACGCUCAUGCACGAAAGCGUGGGGAGCAAACAGG
rnacentral:rRNA from 1 species